UACGAAGGGGGCUAGCGUUGUUCGGAUUUACUGGGCGUAAAGCGCACGUAGGCGGAUCGUUAAGUCGGGGGUGAAAUCCUGGAGCUCAACUCCAGAACUGCCUUCGAUACUGGCGAUCUUGAGUCCGGAAGAGGUGAGUGGAACUCCUAGUGUAGAGGUGGAAUUCGUAGAUAUUCGCAAGAACACCAGUGGCGAAGGCGGCUCACUGGCCCGAUACUGACGCUGAGGCACGAAAGCGUGGGGAGCAAACAGG
rnacentral:rRNA from 1 species